UGGGUCGAUGAUGAUGACCGUUAGGCCUGAUCUGUGGACAGUGAUGUCUGCUGGCCUGGAAAUCUGAGGCCCAA